CAGUCGCCGCGGUAAUACGAAGGGGGCUAGCGUUGCUCGGAAUGACUGGGCGUAAAGGGCGCGUAGGCGGUUUGCACAGUCGGGUGUGAAAUUCCUGGGCUUAACCUGGGGGCUGCAUUCGAGACGUGUAGGCUUGAGUGGGGAAGAGGGUCGUGGAAUUCCCAGUGUAGAGGUGAAAUUCGUAGAUAUUGGGAAGAACACCGGUGGCGAAGGCGGCGACCUGGUCCUUUACUGACGCUGAGGCGCGAAGGCGUGGGGAGCAAACAGGAUUAGAUACCCCCGUAGUCCCUGUCUCUUAUAC
rnacentral:rRNA from 1 species